rnacentral:lncRNA from 1 species
GCAAAGAAAACUCCCCUCAGACGCUUUGCUGCCUGGCCUCCUGCCAGGAACAAGCAGGAGCUGAAAACUAGAAGUUGAGGCAUGAGUUUGGCCACUCCGUAGUGUGCACUUGGUGAGGGCAGCAGCUCGCCACAGCUGCCAGCCAUCUGUCCAUUCACCCAUCUGUCCAUCUGGCAGCCCGCUGUUCAGACCUGUCUGUCUGUCCGCCCAUCUGUAAGCCCAUCUCUGUCCCAUUGUCUAUCUGACCAUCUUUCUCUUACUGUCCUCUUUGUCUAGCUAUCUGGCCUGUCUGUCGAUCCAUCUUCGUGUCUGUCUUCAGCCCCCACCUGUUUGUCCAUCUGUCAUUGUGCUGGCUGUGGUCCUCUCUCGACACCAGGCCCCAUUUGACCCCCGGCCUUUGCCCACACCGCUGUUGCUGCUGACUCCAAGGUCUUCUCAAAUAUUGUACGGCAGGAAACUGCAUAUCUUCUGGUUUACAUGAAGAUGGAGUGCUAAUGGAAAUGCCCAAAACCUUCAGAGAUUGACACGCUGUCAUUUUCCAUUUCCGUUCCUGGAUCUACGGAGUCUUCUAAGAGAUUUUGCAAUGAGGAGAAGCAUUGUUUUCAAACUAUAUAACUGAGCCUUAUUUAUAAUUAGGGAUAUUAUCAAAAUAUGUAACCAUGAGGCCCCUCAGGUCCUGAAUAUCAGUGCUGUUUGUAAUUUUUCACUUUGAGAACCAACAUUAAUUCCAUAUGAAUCAAGUGUUUUGUAACUGCUAUUCAUUUAUUCAGCAAAUAUUUAUUGAUCAUCUCUUCUCCAUAAGAUAGUGUGAUAAACACAGUCAUGAAUAAAGUUAUUUUCCACAAAAGGACUUUGCAGUUUUAACGGGGGGCAGU